GAUGAACGCUGGCGGCGUGCCUAAUACAUGCAAGUCGAGCGAACGGACGAGACGCUUGCUUUUCUGAUGUUAGCGGCGGACGGGUGAGUAACACGUGGAUAACCUACCUAUAAGACUGGGAUAACUUCGGGAAGCCGGAGCUACUACCGGAUAAUAUUUUGAACCGCAUGGUUCAAAAGUGUAAGACGGUCUUGCUGUCACUUAUAGAUGGAUCCGCGCUGCAUUAGCUAGUUGGUAAGGUAACGGCUUACCAAGGCAACGAUGCAUAGCCGACCUGAGAGGGUGAUCGGCCACACUGGAACUGAGACGCGGUCCAGACUCCUACGGGAGGCAGCAGUAGGGAAGCUACGGCAAAGGGCGGAAGCCUGACGGAGCAACGCCGCGCGAGUGAUGAAGGUCUGCGGAUCGUAAAAAUCUGUUAGGAGGGAAGAACAUAUGUGUAAGUAACUGUGCACAUCUUGACGGUACCUAAUCAGAAAGCCACGGCUAACUACGUG
rnacentral:rRNA from 1 species